rnacentral:rRNA from 1 species
GACGAACGCUGGCGGCGUGCUUAACACAUGCAAGUCGAACGGGCCUUGUCCCCUUUUUUUUUGGGGGUGGGGUUAGUGGCGAACGGGUGAGUAACACGUGAGUAACCUGCCCCUCACUUCUGGAUAACCGCUUGAAAGGGUGGCUAAUACGGGGUGUUCUGGCCUGCUCGCAUGGGUGGGUUUGGAAAGAUUCGACCGGUUUUGGUUGUUUUGGUGGGGGAUGGGCUCGCGGCCUAUCAGCUUGUUGGUGGGGUGAUGGCCUGCCAAGGCUUUGACGGGUAGCCGGCCUGAGAGGGUGGGCGGUCACACUGGGGGUGAGACACGGCCCAGACUCCUACGGGAGGCAGCAGUGGGGAAUAUUGCACAAUGGGCGCAAGCCUGAUGCAGCGACGCCGCGUGAGGGAUGGAGGCCUUCGGGUUGUGAACCUCUUUCGCCAGUGAAGAAGGUCCUGCUCUUUGUGGUGGGGUUGACGGUAGCUGGGUUAAUGAAGCGCCGGCUAACUACGUG